ACGCUGGCGGCAGGCUUAACACAUGCAAGUCGAACGGUAACAGGGAUUAGCUUGCUAAUCUGCUGACGAGUGGCGGACGGGUGAGUAAUGCUUGGGAAUCUGGCUUAUGGAGGGGGAUAACUACGGGAAACUGUAGCUAAUACCGCGUAAAAUCUUCGGAUUAAAGGGUGGGACUUUCGAGCCUCCUGCCAUAAGAUGAGCCCAAGUGGGAUUAGGUAGUUGGUUAGGUAAAGGCUGACCAAGCCGACGAUCUCUAGCUGGUCUGAGAGGAUGACCAGCCACACUGGAACUGAGACACGGUCCAGACUCCUACGGGAGGCAGCAGUGGGGAAUAUUGCACAAUGGGGGGAACCCUGAUGCAGCCAUGCCGCGUGAAUGAAGAAGGCCUUCGGGUUGUAAAGUUCUUUCGGUGACGAGGAAGGUUGGUAGGUUAAUAGCCUAUCAAAUUGACGUUAAUCACAGAAGAAGCACCGGCUAACUCCGUGCCAGCAGCCGCGGUAAUACGGGGGGUGCGAGCGUUAAUCGGAAUAACUGGGCGUAAAGGGCACGCAGGCGGUGACUUAAGUGAGAUGUGAAAGCCCCGAGCCUAACUUGGGAAUUGCAUUUCAUACUGGGUCGCUAGAGUACUUUAGGGAGGGGUAGAAUUCCACGUGUAGCGGUGAAAUGCGUAGAGAUGUGGAGGAAUACCGAAGGCGAAGGCAGCCCCUUGGGAAUGUACUGACGCUCAUGUGCGAAAGCGUGGGGAGCAAACAGGAUUAGAUACCCUGGUAGUCCACGCUGUAAACGAUGUCGAUUUGGGGAUUGGGCUUUGAGCUUGGUGCCCGUAGCUAACGUGAUAAAUCGACCGCCUGGGGAGUACGGCCGCAAGGUUAAAACUCAAAUGAAUUGACGGGGGCCCGCACAAGCGG
rnacentral:rRNA from 1 species